rnacentral:lncRNA from 1 species
AGCAAGAUUCGAGCAUUCUGGAGGGCAUUUUUCCUCCACUGGCAACAGCAAAUUUAUGGAGAGCAAUGAGAUUUGGAGGAAUCUGAGCAGAAGUCUUAUGCUGUGAGAUAAAGAAGCUGAAUGGUUUCUUCUCUACCGAGUGAACAAAAGCAAAGUAGAUGCUGUGAAGAAAGACUGAGCAGCCAUUCCCGGGAGACAACACCACUUAAAUGUAAGGGAGGAGAAUGCAGUAAAUAGGAUUCAGAAGAAGUUGAGGAUCCGGUCCUCUCAAUUUUAGUUGGCGCAUUAUCUGUGCAUAGAAUUCGCUGGGACUGUGAGCACUCAAAUGAAGCCUCCCUCCUAGCUAAGUGAGGCUAUGGAAAUAAGUCCUGGCUGGUAAGAUGCAACCAGAGUGGUGUGGG